rnacentral:rRNA from 1 species
UGGGGAAUUUUGGACAAUGGGCGCAAGCCUGAUCCAGCAAUGCCGCGUGCAGGAUGAAGGCCUUCGGGUUGUAAACUGCUUUUGUACGGAACGAAACGGUCUGCUUUAAUACAGUGGGCUAAUGACGGUACCGUAAGAAUAAGCACCGGCUAACUACGUGCCAGCAGCCGCGGUAAUACGUAGGGUGCGAGCGUUAAUCGGAAUUACUGGGCGUAAAGCGUGCGCAGGCGGUUAUAUAAGACAGAUGUGAAAUCCCCGGGCUCAACCUGGGACCUGCAUUUGUGACUGUAUAGCUAGAGUACGGUAGAGGGGGAUGGAAUUCCGCGUGUAGCAGUGAAAUGCGUAGAUAUGCGGAGGAACACCGAUGGCGAAGGCAGGUCUCUGGGCCAUUACUGACACUGAGGAGCGAAAGCGUGGGGAGCGAACAGG